rnacentral:rRNA from 1 species
GUAGGCAGCAAGGCGUUGUUCGGAGUUACUGGGCGUAAAGGGUGCGUAGGCGGCUUGGUAAGUGUGGUGUGAAAUCUCCCGGCUCAACUGGGAGGUGCGCUACAACUGCCGGGCUAGAGUGCGGGAGAGGAGAGUAGGAAUUCCUGGUGUAGCGGUGAAAUGCGUAGAUAUCAGGAGGAACACCGGUGGUGUAAACGGCUCUCUGGACCGUAACUGACGCUGAGGCACGAAAGCGUGGGUAGCAAACAGG